UGAGGUUAGUACCUGCCACAUUAGGUGUGUGGGACCCAAUCAAACAUAAAUGUGUGAGGAGCCCACUGCCUGGUUCAUAAUCACUGCUCCGUGGCUGCUGAUGGUUCUGAUGCUUAUCAUGACCGCUAGGAGCUGGAGAUAGAUCUUGAGAUCUCUUCUGCCCGGGUCAUGGGUAAACAUGAUGGAUAAAAUUAUGUGAACCAGAGUUUGAAUUUUGGCUUCUAGUUUUGUGACUCCCCCUUUCUGAGCUCUCGUUCUCAUCUGUAAAGCGGAGCAGCGACACCACUGUUCACAGGCUUGCUGUGAGGAUGGGAGGCAGCAGCGAGGGGACGGAGCCCUCCCAGCAGUAAACCGCAGCUGUGACCCCCUAAUUCAAAGCUCCUCCCCUCGGCGGCAGCGAGGACAACGGCUUUCAGUUUGAAGAAUGGUCCUGUGCUGUCCCACUCCGCAUGAUCAGCAGUGGACGAUCACAAUGGGAAUGGCCGAAUGAACAGGAGAACACGCAGCCUGCAGUCUCUGGUAUGUGCCAGGGACACAGAGAUAACGGGAAAUGAUGAAUGAGGCCAAAGCCAGCUAAAGAUGGGACUCCAGUUUGGCAUGUAACUGAGAAUUCUCCUCUGCUCUUGCACAAUGACAGACAAGGUCUCGUGGCCUUGAGGCGAAGAUCGGGCAGAGGUUUCUGGGCUGUGCCAAGCCACGGUUUUGUUUUACCUCGUGAUGAGGAACAGCUGUGUCCCAAAGGGGCGGCACCUCGCUGCCUCCGCAGUGUUUUGAUAAGAGGCGCGGGGUCGGCGAGUGUGGACGAGAUGAGGAAUCGCGUUUCUCGCAACAGUCCUCGCGCUCCAGGUCACGAGCUAAUCUCCUCUGGGAAACCGAGACCAGAGAUGGGCCUCCCUCUCUCCCUGCUAUCUCAGGGUAUUUUCUGUCACCAUGGAGAACGGUAGAGGCUGGAAAAGGUCAAAAGGACACGGCCUACGAGCUGAGGCGGCAGAGCAGUGAAGCCUGUUGGAAAGUGCCAGCAUCCAAGAGGAGGAUGGUGAGAACCGCAGAGCAGGGCGCCGGGUCAGUCGGAUGGACACGGGUUCCAAGGCCACCUCUGUGCCACCAGCUGUGGACGUCCGAGUCUCAGUUUCCAUAUCCGUACCUAAAGGGCUGGUAGGAGUGAAGGAGUUGGGCUGUGCAGGGCCCUUUGGUGUUUCAGGCGAUGUGAGUUGAAGAAAGAAUGAGUGCUUGGUCUUCAGAAGGGGCAGAGACGAGCCGGCAGGUCGGGUCAGAGUCACGGUUAACAAGCUCUCGGCUCCUCACUCCGUCGCUGUUUGGUUUUCACUGCGUCGCGAUUUUGCAGCUUUCCCACUCGGACCACCAACUUUCCUGAGCGUUUAGCCUUCUCUGCCGGCUGCCGUCCCCUCCCUCUCAGAGUCCCCCACCCCCAUCCGCAUCUACUUGAUGAUGACAGGAAUCGCCAGGGGCACCAGGCAGCUCAGAAGGACACUCCAGGACAUGGCUGUCACACUUUUCUUUUUUCCUAAGACCCACAGUAAGAAAUAUAUUAAUAAGUUUUGCAUUGCAAAUCAACCCACACAUACAUAUAAAUGACUGAUUAAAGAAAUUUCAUGAAACACUCCCCGUCCUUCUUGUCUGCACUCUAUUAUUUUCUUUUCCAUUCCACUUCAUUCCACUCUAUUCUACUUUAUUUCUCCUUUGAAAGUGCUGGUUACCACCCAGUAAUCUAGUUCAUUAACCAGCUGCCAGUUUGAGAAACACUGGUUUCCGGUGGGACUGCCAUGCCGUUCUCUCUGUCCAGUUGUGGACUGUAUCAGUGGCCCUAGAAACCUGUCUUCCAAUUCACAGCCUAAGAAUCAUCAGGGGCCUUGAUUGAUAAAUGUACAAAUUUCCAGGCUCCAUCCCCAGAGAUUUGACAGCGUUUCAGAGACUGGUCAGAACCAGAGUGUCUCGUGGGGUCUCCCUGGCACUGAGAUGGAGAUUCUGAUUCCAGGGAGAAAGCUUCUGAUUGGUCUAGAUGGGUCAGAGGCCACCUCUUGGUCAGAGAAGGAAGAUGCCUUGAUGGGCAGUCCCACCAACACUGUAUCCCUUGGGGUGGGUAGCUCCCCAAAGUAAGUAGAAGAAAGGGUGAUGGAUGCUGCCAGGGACUGUUUGUGUCGCCCCAAAAUUCAUAUGUUGAAAUUCUGACCUCGAAUGUGAUGGUAUCUGGAGGUGGGGCCUUUGGGUUGAUUAGG